UCGACGCGGCCGAGUCGCCAGCAGCCGCGGUAAUACGUAGGUCCCGAGCGUUGUCCGGAUUUAUUGGGCGUAAAGCGAGCGCAGGCGGUUUGAUAAGUCUGAAGUUAAAGGCUGUGGCUCAACCAUAGUUCGCUUUGGAAACUGUCAAACUUGAGUGCAGAAGGGGAGAGUGGAAUUCCAUGUGUAGCGGUGAAAUGCGUAGAUAUAUGGAGGAACACCGGUGUCGACGCGGCCG
rnacentral:rRNA from 1 species